AAUAUGUUCAAAAUUAAUUUUUCCAUUGCUUCUGCAAUUUGGCACUUUGCAGCACUGGUUAAUAACUUGUUACGAAAAUAUUUUUUUAUUUUUCGGGUGUAAUUGGUACAUCAACUAAUAGCCAUAAUACUUUUAUGAUUCAUGUAUGCUUCUGGCGCAAAUAAAAGCUUCCGCAUGAUAUUUUUUGGCGAAAAAUCAGAAUGUAAGAUCCAUUGAUACGAGAACGUUGUUAAACAAAAAUGUGUCCUUAAAAAUGAUAUGGAAAUUAAAGGAUUAUAACUAUUUUAGGCAGAGCAGACAAAUUUCUUCUAAGAAAACGUAUUCGCAUUACCAUUGGUCGUAAAAGCGUAAUAUUUUCAUUUGGUCUUAUUCAAACAUUUUCACCUUUCAGCUUGGAUGUCAAACGUGCCGUGCCAAAGAUCGAUGCUUCCAUUUGCUCCUCUUUUCUGGGAACACGUUCCAUGGUGGUGUGUGGAUAGUUGGCAACUGGACGGAUUUGUGUGUAUAAGAAGAACCAACUAUGUGUUUUAUAAGACGGCUUUGGAGAUCAGUUUAUUGUUUUUUCGACCAGAAAAUCGGGUUCGUUUCACAAAGGACAUUGUAAGCACUUCGGAGUGAGAGAAAUGACAAAUCGAAACCACAUCCGAGGUUAUGUGAUUGAGCAACGUCGAAAAGCUCAGGAAAGAUACGAUAAUCUUUGAUGAGACGAUUUAAAAUACAAAUUAUUAUUUCGCCAGGUAAGCACUUAAAGAUUAAUUUGCUUAUGUGUUAUGACUGUUUGCAUUUACUUGUCGUGUUCGCUUUUCAUAUCAUUGCUUCGGUUUCAGAUCAUAUCUAGCACAAAAUAAUAUAUUUAUAUAUGUAUGAUGAAUUGGCAAGCACUUGAAGAUUCUUCGCCCUGUAUUGAAGCUCUUCAACUGAAGCAACUCCUCCGGCGUUAGGUGGAAAUCAAAUAUAUCCAGAUUCUCGACGA